CAGUCGCCGCGGGAAUACGUAGGGUGCAAGCGUUAAUCGGAAUUACUGGGCGUAAAGCGUGCGCAGGCGGUUCUAUAAGACAGAUGUGAAAUCCCCGGGCUCAACCUGGGAACUGCAUUUGUGACUGUAGAGCUGGAGUGCGGCAGAGGGGGAUGGAAUUCCGCGUGUAGCAGUGAAAUGCGUAGAUAUGCGGAGGAACACCGAUGGCGAAGGCAAUCCCCUGGGCCUGCACUGACGCUCAUGCACGAAAGCGUGGGGAGCAAACAGGAUUAGAUACCCCUGUAGUCCCUGUCUCUUAUAC
rnacentral:rRNA from 1 species